ACUCCUACGGGAGGCAGCAGUGGGGAAUAUUGCGCAAUGGGCGAAAGCCUGACGCAGCGACGCCGCGUGAGGGAUGAAGGCCUUCGGGUUGUAAACCUCUUUCAGCAGGGAAGAAGCGCAAGUGACGGUACCUGCAGAAGAAGCACCGGCUAACUACGUGCCAGCAGCCGCGGUAAUACGUAGGAGGCGAGCGUUAUCCGGAUUUACUGGGCG
rnacentral:rRNA from 1 species